rnacentral:rRNA from 1 species
CCUACGAGAGGCAGCAGUGAGGAAUAUUGGUCAAUGGGCGGAAGCCUGAACCAGCCAAGUAGCGUGCGGGAUGAAGGCCCUACGGGUCGUAAACCGCUUUUGCACGGGGAUAACACCCUCCACUUGUGGAGGUCUGCAUGUACCGUGCGAAUAAGGGCCGGCUAAUUCCGUGCCAGCAGCCGCGGUAAUACGGAGGGCCCGAGCGUUAUCCGGAUUCAUUGGGCUUAAAGGGAGCGUAGGCGGGCGGUUAAGUCAGCGGUAAAAUCGCGGGGUUCAACCGCGCCCCGCAGUUGAAACUGGACGCCUUGAGUUCACAACAGGCAGGCGGAAUGCGUGGUGUAGCGGUGAAAUGCAUAGAUAUCACGAGGAACCCCGAUUGCGAAGGCAGCCUGACGGGGUGCGACUGACGCUGAGGCUCGAAGGUGCGGGUAUCGAACAGGAUUAGAUACCCUUGUAGUC